GAAGGAUCAUUAUCGAGCCUAACAAGCCUCAACGGGUGUCAAAGCUGGUGCUGCCGUUGCUGCUGCAUUCACGGCAGCGGUGGCUCUGGCGGCGGCCCUUACGAGUGCGGCGCAUAGCGGAACGCUUGCGGUCGCGGGCUUCCCAGCCCUACGCGACUGACCGCUUUGCGUGCGAGAGUGCUGCGCUUUGUGCUUGCUGCGCCAUGCGCUCAUCGCGAACCUUCGAAAACGGCUAUCCGUUGGCGUCUACGCCCCAUCUAGUGGUUGCCCCGACCGUCGGCCGCUAUGAUGAUGGGGGCACGCCCGCGUAUGCGUUUCUAACGCAUACGCGCUGGUAGACUCAAUGAGCGUCGACUAGGACGCCGCCAACAACCAAACCCAAACCCCGAUACUGUGUGCUGAUGUGUUUCUAUCGACGUGCUUUGUGCUGCUUGGUACUGCUGCAGCUGCUGCUGCUGUGCCGCUCAUGUAGACCCAAAGCUGUAGCUGUUGCUGCUCUUGCUUCUUGCGGCAGUGGUGGCGGCGGAGGUGACGAUGGCGGAAGCGGCGGCGGCGGCGGCGGCGACGGAGGUGGCACUUGCGCGAAGAGAGAACAGAAAAUCACUCUUAGCGGUGGAUCACUCGGCUCGUGGAUCGAUGAAGAACGCAGCCAGCUGCGAUAUGUAGUGCGAAUUGCAGAUACAUUGAGCACUAAAAUUUCGAACGCACAUUGCGCCAUCGGGUUCAUUCCCGUUGGCACGUCUGGCUGAGGGUCGAAAUGCUAACUGCAACCUACGUGCCGCUUGCACGUUUUGUCGGUGCGCUAACUGCUGCUGCUGCUCGUGCUGCUGCGCUGCGUCUAGCAGUAGCACACUAGCAGCGGUUACCGUACUCAGUGAGCAAUGGUGGUGUGUGCUGCACACAAUGGUCGUACGCGCGCUUGGCUUACGUGUUGCCGUCGUAAGCGCGACCUCCACCAGCAAUGCGAGCAGAAUACGCGGCGACGUACGUUCGUCGACCUGCGAGGUGCACCCGCGAGCUACUGGGGAGCACAUGUAGCGGUGUCGGUAUGCGCUAGAAUGGACGUACGCACGCAGCGCUGCUCUCAGUUCGUAUGCGCUUUUGACCUCAGCUCAGUCGUGAGUACCCGCUGAAUUUAAGCAUAUAAUUA
rnacentral:rRNA from 1 species